GUCCAACCAGUCUGAAUCCGUUCCUUGAUCCAGAAGUCCCUGAUCCGGCCAACCUCGAAGUAGCUGCAGCUCCCUCAACCGGAGAACCAUCAUCUCUACCGAAUGGCUCGUCCCCAACCAGUGACGGUGGCUCGUCUGCAAACAGCGAGACAAGCGUCCCUUCACUCUUCGAGGAGGACGUCGAGUUCGUCGGGGUUGAA
rnacentral:lncRNA from 1 species